AGAAGAGAGCCAGAAAUCUAAGCCAAUUGCCCACUGUAGUCUAAAAGAAUGGUGCUAUACUCACAAACACACUGCUGUUUUUUCAUUGUGGUGGUUGUUUUUUGAGACAGAGUCUCACUCUAUCACCCAGGCUGGAGUGCAGUGGUGCAAUCUCAGCUCACUGCAAACUCUGCCUCCCGGAUUCAAGCGAUUCUCAUGCCUCAGAUGGGAUCUCACUGUGUUGCCCAGGCUGGUCUCGAACUCCUGGACUCAAGUGAUCUGCCCACCUCAGCUUCUCAAAGUGCUGAGAGCCACUGCACCCGGCCUGGGGAGAUUGAGACCAUCCUGGCUAACAUGGUGAAACUCCGUCUCUACUAAAAAAGUAAGAAGGAGAAGCGCCAGCUUUCUUGUAUCAUGAAAACGUUUACAGUUUCUGGGCUUAGAAGAAAAAAGCCCUAAAACCUUGAGGAUAAAGGAAUUCAUUUUCUAAAAUUCAGUUCUAUAAACAACACUGUGAA
rnacentral:lncRNA from 1 species